AUGGUCAGCAUGAAGCUUCCGCCGCCGACCACGCGCUCGACGAUCACCGCCACGACGAGCGCCGGCACCCACGAGCUCAAGGUGGAGGGCUACUCCGUGACCAAGCUGCUCGUCGCCGGCGAGCACAUCGAGUCCAGCAAGUUCAGGGCGGCGGGCCACGAUUUUCAGAUCUGCUACUACCCGCACAGGUACCAGAAGAAGGACUGCAACGCCAGCAUCUCCUUCUUCCUCAAGAUGGCCGAGGCGGCCGCCUCGAACAUCCGCGUCGAGUUCAUGUUCAGCCUGGUCUCUCGCCACGGCGGUGAGCCUGCACGUUUUGCUGGCGAGCGCCACGUGGUGACGUUCCCUCACAAGCACGACGGCGUCGAGUACUGGGGCCUGGAGAUCUCGAAGAAGGAGCUUGAGGGGUCGCCGGAGUACCUGUGGGACGACUCCUUUGUCUUGCGGUGUGAGAUCACCGUCCUCGACAAGCCGGUCGUGAAAAGCCAUGACGGCCUCGCCGUCUGCCGCUGCAAGGAUGACUUGUGCAAGCGUCGUCACCUGAGAAACACGGCGGAUCGCGCAUCAUGGGUCAAGGACGUAGUCCUCAAGCACUUCCUUAAGUGUGUCGGCAUAUGA
rnacentral:rRNA from 1 species